rnacentral:rRNA from 1 species
UACGUAGGCAGCGAGCGUUAUUCGGAGUUACUGGGCGUAAAGCGUGCGCAGGCGGCUAUGCAAGACAGAUGUGAAAUCCCCGGGCUCAACCUGGGAACUGCAUUUGUGACUGCAUGGCUAGAGUACGGCAGAGGGGGAUGGAAUUCCGCGUGUAGCAGUGAAAUGCGUAGAUAUGCGGAGGAACACCGAUGGCGAAGGCAAUCCCCUGGGCCUGUACUGACGCUCAUGCACGAAAGCGUGGGGAGCAAACAGG